UACAGAGGAUGCAAGCGUUAUCCGGAAUGAUUGGGCGUAAAGCGUCUGUAGGUGGCUUUUUAAGUCCGCCGUCAAAUCCCAGGGCUCAACUCUGGGCAGGCGGUGGAAACUGCCAAGCUGGAGUACGGUAGGGGCAGAGGGAAUUUCCGGUGGAGCGGUGGAAUGCGUAGAGAUCGGAAAGAACACCAACGGCGAAAGCACUCUGCUGGGCCGACACUGACACUGAGAGACGAAAGCUAGGGGAGCGAAUGGG
rnacentral:rRNA from 1 species